rnacentral:misc_RNA from 1 species
UUAAAAAAAAAAAAAAAAAAGGCCUGUAAAAAUCACAUAUGUAGGAGCAAGGCAAUCUACGAAAGCCUAUAACAUUUGCACUUCCAGAUAUAGAAUGUGUCUAAAUCAAGAAUGCCCCUAUAGGAUUUCUUGUUUCUCCAUGCUAAUUGAAUCUAAAAAGUCUACAGUGAUUAUCCCAGUAGAAUAUGCAAAUCAAGAAAUCACACAAGAAUUCAUUACUGUACAAAAGAAAAUUAAAAAAAUAUUAUGUUUAAAAGAAGAAGAAGAAGAAG